ACACCUCAACUCUCAUGGUUUGCCAUGAUGAGCUUGGACUCUGGGGGAUUUGCUGGCCCUGCAGUUGGCUCCCCUCAAACAAAUCAGCUUUCCAGUGUUUGGUGGCAUCACGGGUGUGAUAAAUAUCUACGCUUGUGGUUUCCUGCCAGGUAACCUUCAGUAAUGGGGGUCCGCUGGGGCUCAUAGACGUCUCUCCUUCAGCGAGGACAGCUUUUUGAA
rnacentral:misc_RNA from 1 species